GCAUUAGUGGUGUAGCGGUAACAUACUUGCCUUCCAUGCUCCAAUCAGCGAGCAAGUGCUCUGGGUUCGACUCCCAGCUAAUGCA